rnacentral:lncRNA from 1 species
UGAGACUUUUCUAUAAGCUAGAGUCCUUCUUUAAUAGACUUUCACUUAGCAGUUUGACAUAAUAAAUUCCUUCCCAUUGCAGAGAUCAAGGACAUGGUGUUCUAAAUGCUCUCUUUCUGUACCUUAAGUGCUUUUGAUGGUUUCUGAUACUUUGUACUAUAGUUUAGACACACUUUAUAUAUUGAUUUUUGUUUAGGUUGCCCUGUGUGAAACCAGGAGUUGGACUCGAUCCUCAUGGGACCCUUCCAGCUCAGGACAUUCUAAGAUUCUAUGAUUCUAGGACAAGAUAUGGCCUCUGUCCACAGCUUUCUCUGAAAUUUCUUCCAGAUGUGAAACUCCCAAUAUGCACGUCAAGCUCAAAACAGGAAUCUACAUGGAAAUGUUAUAAAUAUUAAUAAAUGGCCAUUACAAGAUUUCGUCAACUGACCUUACUGCAAGGAGCAAUCCAGUAAGCCAUUGAAAGGAAGGGCAGUCCUACUGCAACAGCGAGA